rnacentral:lncRNA from 1 species
GGAUUAGGAAAGACUUAGCAAUUAUUGUUGGAAGUCAAGGUUUGUAUUAGCAAUUUGGGAUUUAUGCAAUGAAAUUAGGACUAAGACUUUGAACUAGUUCAUAAAAUUGGUUUCACAUCUAUAGUUCAAAUUUUGAUAAUGCUUGGUUAAUUAGGUGUUCUAAGUGUAUGUAAAUUUUUUAGUAAUCCAAUAGUGCAAUUGAGAGAUAUCUGGAUUUUGAUACAAGAACAUAGCGAAAGUUGUUGGUUUGGGAUUGAGUAGGGUUUCUAUGAUAUCUGAAGAUCUACUAAUUGGAUCAAGGUGAAAUAUGACAAGAUAUUGAAGGACUUAAAGAUCAAGUUGCAUACCAAUUUUGAGUCAAAGUUAACAG